rnacentral:lncRNA from 10 species
AAAGUGCUGGCAUUCAAGGGAUGGAAUAGAAGUUUGGAGAGCUCAAGAACCUUGUCUAAGAUCACAUAAUUAGCAGGUGGUGGAGCUGGUGGAGCUGGGAUUUGAACCCUGGUCUAUGUGGCUUCCAAUAGGCCACUCCCCUAUGCUGAGAUGCUUUGAAAUUGCAACUGUCAAGAUCUUGCCCCUUGUGCAUUUUGAUGCCCCCAUGAGGGUGGACUCAGGGCAACAUUUCAGAUGUUAUUCCCAAAUCUCUCCCUGCUCCCCUUGGCUGAAUCCCUGAACUUCUGAAACAAGGCCUGUCUGUGGUUCCUGUUGUGGCCUUGAGGUAGGAUUUGACAAGUUGUCAAGUCCCGAGGUGCUGACCAACAUGCUCAUCUCAAGCUGAAAUAAUAAAAUAAAAAAUCU